AAGAUGCCUAUCUUUUACUAUUUUCUCUCUGUCACUUUCGGUAAACCCGCCAAGGACGGACACGAUUUCAUGCUUCGGUUGUAAACAAAUUC
ensembl:ncRNA F38A3.4 ncRNA